UGAAUCUCCCAAGAGAGCAAAGGCAUUAUUCCUCCACAUCUGCUGGAGGGCAGGCUGUCUCUGUAGCAGGGGAUGGGGGAUUUCUUCUAUUGUAAUCAGCAGUCAUUAGUUUUGGGAGUCAUAGUUGGCCUACCUUUAUUUCAGACUUUAUCCAUCAGUUUUCAAAUAGGAAGACAGUGUUUACUAAUGAACUUUAUCUUUCCUGGGGUCAGCAGCCCAAUAAAGCAAUUGUUUGGAUUUGGGAAUGUAAGGACCAUCUCCUCCAAGCUAAACUCUGAAGUAUAAGUUGCAAAUGAAAGAAGUCCUGCUACUCUAAAGAAUAACUAAACCAGACUGGAGUCACUGAAACUGAUGGAAGAACAUCUCAGGCAUGAGUGCCAUGGUGACGUCAUCAGCUCCGUUCACAACCACUCACCAUGAGGCCAUUGCUCCUGUGGAGGACACUGGCUUAGGACUCAUGAAGUAGUACCUCAGGAAGGUGUCUCUGUAAGUGUUCCUUCCACCAGCUCCAAGACACAAUGAGAUGGAGAGAACUGGAACAAUUCCCUAUGAUUGCAGCUGGAUAUUUUCACAUGAACUAUCUAGUAAUGAAGGCAAUGGCAUGUGGUGUGGCAAAGACUGGCCCCAGAUUACAUUUCCAGUCCUUUUGUACUGAGGAGGGGCUUUGGGACCAAGACAGUAGGAGUGAGGGUACAGGUUCCACAUUCUAUUUCUCUCUUAGUUUUCUGUGGUUAUCUUGGUGACUGCAUGGUAAAGAUGGAGGUGACAAAAGAUGGAAGGAGCCUGGAUCCCUGAAUGACUUCAUGGUGCAGAGCCUUACACUACCCCCAACUCAUACUAAAACAGGGGUGGGAGGAACAAUAGACCAUUAUUCUGUUAAGGUGCUGAAAUUGUAGAGCUGUUAAUUUGAACAGUUAGAGUUUCUUAUACUGAUACAGUAUCCUUACCCUGGAUUGUUGAAAUAAUUAGUCCAAAUAGUUUCUUUGCCUAAAACUGUGGACAGAGCCUAAGCAAUAUUGAAUCCAAGACAAGGUAUAUUUAUCAUCAAAUGCUACUCACUAUACAAUACAGAUGAAUGUGGCACUUACUUCCCGUGUUGUUACCCAGCCUGCUUCUAGUAUUCUUUACACAAAAUAACAUUCAUGAGCAACCUGG
rnacentral:lncRNA from 1 species